CGCCGGCAGCGCGCACAGCGAGUGCGCGCAUUCGUCCGAACGGUGAUCGACUGCUUUUCCUAUCGUUUGUGGGAAGCUUAAUCGAAAGAAGAUUGUCAUAAAUUGAGUAUGGGAAGUCGCUUUUGUCAAUCCGUCGUGAAAGAGAAACGUUAACUGUUUGGCAAUAUGUGACAGAAGCCAAUGUUAGUGACUACGGUAUCUUUUGUGCAUUCGGAGCAGCACAGGACGGCAUCCAGCUAAUGCAAGCAGCAGGAUCAUUAAUGUUUGACUUGACGUUGGCUGACAAGCAAGUGAAUUGUGGGUUGCUAUGCUUACUUGGUAGUGCCCUUUAAUCCUUAACGUUUUUUAAUUGCUGAAUGGCAUCAUUUAAACAUCAGAAAGCUUUGCAAGAUGCCCCAAACAUGGAUUUGUCAGAAAUCCUCACCAAACUCCAGCUGGAAAACAAAGAGGCUUCAGACAGCACUUCUCCUCAGCCUUGCAUUCCCGUCUCCAAAGCUCUAUCACAGAUUCAACAUCUGUUCCAAGCAGCAACAUCACCCAAAGCUCAGGAGAGCAUUUUAAAAGAUAUCCGAUCAUUCCUGUCAGCAGCAGAUGUCCACUGGCUUUUCUCCCCAUGCUGCCAAAACGCAGGGCUCAAUGUUGGUGACAUAUGGAAAGAGUUUGUUAAUUCCCUCAUCCAGCAUACCACUCUUCCAAAAUGUGAGCUGGACAGUGGAGAGUUACCGGAAAGUUCAUAUCAGCUCAUUCCUGACCGGGCAAAGAACGUAACAGAAGUGCUUCUGAUUCUCUUGAGUAAGGCUGCUGCAGAAAAGCACUUGAACCCUUGUAACAACACUGUGGUGCCUGAAACAUCACCUGCCAGCACCCUUUUACCUUCUGUCUUUAUUUUUGCUGCCACACAUCUGCAGGAAUAUCUCUGGACCACUGCCAGCUCAAGGUCUGCUGCCAACAAACUGAUGAACCUUCUGAUGGAGACAGCUUAUUGCAAAAAUGUGCAUGAGCUGCUGUGUGGGAGACAAGAUGGAGGCACAACUGGGAUUUUUGGAGCAGUGUUAGAACUGCAAAGACCAGAGCUCAAAAAAGAGACAUGGAAGUUGAACCAGGCAACCAAACAUGUCUUCUUGUGGAGUCUACUUCAAGUGCCUCGGCCAUGGCUGUGUGUCCACCUCGAACAUGUUUUUCCUGCCUCUUUGAUUAUUUCAGAUGAUUAUCGAACAGAGAACAAGGUCCUUGGCGUGCGCUGUCUUCAUCACAUCAUCAUGAAUGUACCUGCAGCCGACCUGCGGCAGUACAACAGAGCCCAGGUGCUGUAUCAUGCUUUGUUCAACCAUCUGUACACAUCUGAUGCUGACCUCAUACAAGUAGUUCUACCUUGUAUGCUAGAUCUACUGCACGUACUAGAAAACCCAUCCCAGAGGGCAGGGGACCCUCGCAAACCCAAUCAGUAUGACGAAGUCUUGCGACUCAUUUUAAUGCACAUGGAAAUGGAGCACAAGAUCAAGCUACGAAGAGUCUACGCAAGAAGCCUGCCACCCUUCAUAGAAAGGCUGGGCAUUUUAAUUGCCCGUCAUCUGAAGAGACUGGAAAGGGUCAUAGUUGGCUUCCUGGAGGUUUGUGAUGCACCAGAGGAAGAGGCAAGGCUGUACGUCCUGAAGUCACUUGAAAGUACAAUAAGACAUGCCUGGCCAAGCCCCCCGACUGCAUGUGCUGGUGAAGUCCCUGGUGAGGCUGCUUUAUGACCUGUCCACUGAGUGCAGCUCCACACCACAGACUGUGAAGGAUGAGCUGCUAGAGCACGUGACCCGCUGCCUCCUCCUGCUGAGUGAGCUCUGUGCUCAGGACCUCCAGGCCGUACUUGGCGAUAUUCACAGCAGCUGUUCUGAUGCUCGUGUCAGCCAGUGUCUUGAGAAGGUCCUCCAGAGUAUGAGGUGCCUGCAGUGAGUUGGCCCAGGGCUUUAAAGGAGCAACUUUUAGGACCCCACCCUGUGACUGCCCGUGGACUCGCCACUCUGGACUAAAACACCCACACAUCCUUUGUGACAAGGACAUCUGCUGUGAAUCUGCCAAAUCUGAGCUGUCUGUCAGACAGGGUGUCUUCCCCCGGAUCACAGAUGAUCGUGUUUGCAGUGCCCAAGCAUCUUGCCAAUUACUUCUGAAACGUUUUUAGAAAUGCUAUACUGUAUACGAGUAGUUCAAGUGGACCACAUUUGAUUCCGCUGUCCUGGGCAUAAACGUGUGUCUACUGUGGAUGCUGUACUCUCGCAAAAGUUAUGAUUUGUGGCUCUACUCGUCAAAGUAAGUAGUAUUUUAAAAAAUGAAUAUCCACAAGACAGCCAUCAGCAUUUACAGUGGACAGUCAACUUCAACAGAUGGUGUCAAAUUUUCACACUGAGGGAAAACAAUUGAGGCUUCAUUUUCCUUGGAUGCACAUAUAUUGAGGAAUAUUUUUGUUUGUUAAAAAUAAAUAUACAAAUAGCAAUAUUGUGCAGUUGGCGAAAA